AAUAGAGAUGCUAGACGAUUUUACAACCUUGGACAGUAUUGGAACUAGUUAUGAACAUCAUAAUAGGUCGGUAAUACCAGUCGAUGCUGUAAACUUAUUAA